rnacentral:sRNA from 1 species
GCUUCGCUCGUGUGCAGUGGAAAUCCUUUUUAUUUUUUCUUUAAAAUAAAAAGAUUGCAACGGAUAGCUGGAACUAGC